rnacentral:rRNA from 1 species
AACGAACGCUGGCGGCAGGCUUAACACAUGCAAGUCGAACGCCCCGCAAGGGGAGUGGCAGACGGGUGAGUAACGCGUGGGAAUCUACCCAGUUCUGCGGAACAACAGUUGGAAACGACUGCUAAUACCGCAUACGCCCUACGGGGGAAAGAUUUAUCGGAAUUGGAUGAGCCCGCGUUGGAUUAGCUAGUUGGUGGGGUAAUGGCCUACCAAGGCGACGAUCCAUAGCUGGUCUGAGAGGAUGAUCAGCCACACUGGGACUGAGACACGGCCCAGACUCCUACGGGAGGCAGCAGUGGGGAAUAUUGGACAAUGGGCGCAAGCCUGAUCCAGCCAUGCCGCGUGAGUGAUGAAGGCCUUAGGGUUGUAAAGCUCUUUCAGUAGGGAAGAUAAUGACGGUACCUACAGAAGAAGCCCCGGCUAACUUCGUGCCAGCAGCCGCGGUAA